UACGGAGGGGGCUAGCGUUGUUCGGAAUUACUGGGCGUAAAGCGCGCGUAGGCGGCUUUGUAAGUUAGAGGUGAAAGCCCGGAGCUCAACUCCGGAACUGCCUUUAAAACUGCAUCGCUUGAAUCAUGGAGAGGUGAGUGGAAUUCCGAGUGUAGAGGUGAAAUUCGUAGAUAUUCGGAAGAACACCAGUGGCGAAGGCGACUCACUGGACAUGUAUUGACGCUGAGGUGCGAAAGCGUGGGGAGCAAACAGG
rnacentral:rRNA from 1 species